AAACUUGUUCAUCGUUUUUGCAAAAAGGCAACUUUGAAUUCCAGUUUGGACUCGGGUAAUAUUCUCUUGUUUCCUCAUUCAAAAGUGUGCUGAAAAUACUGCGCAUGUGUGAAUUCAAGAAUAACCAGGGAGUGGGCGAGGUCGAGGUUUGAAUUAUCCUGUGAGACACACCCGGAAACAGCCUCGCGGAGUGCUCAUCCUUCUGUGAUGCGGUGAAACACACCCGGAAACAGCCUCGCUGAGUGCUCAUCCUUCUGUGAUGCAGUGAGACGUACCCGGAAACAGCCUCACCGAGUGCUCAUCCUUCUGUGAUGCGGUGAGACGCACCGGGAAACAGCCUCGCUGAGUGCUCAUCCUUCUGUGAUGCGGUGAGACACACCCGGAAACAGCCUCGCUGAGUGCUCAUCCUUCUGUGAUGCGGUGAGACACGCCCGGAAACAGCCUCGCUGAGUGCUCAUCCUUCUGUGAUGCGGUGAGACACGCCCGGAAACAGCCUCGCUGAGUGCUCAUCCUUCUGUGAUGCGGUGAGACACGCCCGGAAACAGCCUCGCUGAGUGCUCAUCCUUCUGUGAUGCGGUGAGACGCGCCCGGAAACAGCCUCGCUGAGUGCUCAUCCUUCUGUGAUGCGGUGAGACGCACCCGGAAACAGCCUCGCUGAGUGCUCAUCCUUCUGUGAUGCGGUGAGACGCACCCGGAAACAGCCUCGCU
rnacentral:lncRNA from 1 species